rnacentral:rRNA from 1 species
GACGAACGCUGGCGGCGUGCCUAAUACAUGCAAGUCGAGCGGACCCUUCGGGGUUAGCGGCGGACGGGUGAGUAACACGUGGGUAAUCUGCCCAACUGACUGGAAUAACGCCUGGAAACGGUGCUAAUGCCGGAUAGGCAACUGGUAGGCAUCUACCGGUUGGGAAAGGUGCAACUGCACCGCAGAUGGAGGAGCCCGCGGCGCAUUAGCUAGUUGGUGGGGUAACGGCCUACCAAGGCGACGAUGCGUAGCCGACCUGAGAGGGUGGACGGCCACACUGGGACUGAGACACGGCCCAGACUCCUACGGGAGGCAGCAGUAGGGAAUCUUCCGCAAUGGGCGCAAGCCUGACGGAGCAACGCCGCGUGAGCGAAGAAGGCCUUCGGGUUGUAAAGCUCAGUCACUCGGGAAGAGCGGACGAGGGAGUGGAAAGCCCUCGUCGAGACGGUACCGAGAGAGGAAGCCCCGGCUAACUACGUG